UGGCCAUGCUGGAGCAACACCUUUAGUCAAGCAAAUGGACCCCAGGACUUAUUCUUUGUAAGCCUAGUACUUAUUCUACCGGUCUCUCUCGCCGAACCGCUAAGUUACGGAGAUGUAAACGCACCAGCAUCGGUUGUCAAGCGAUGUUGGGCGGGGUGGGGGGCAAACACAGACACACACACAGAAAUAUAAAAAAAUACAUAUACUAUAUACGACAGGCUUCUUUCAGUUUCCGUCUACCAAAUCCACUCACAAGGCUUUGGUCGGCCCGAGGCUAUAGUAGAAGACACUUGCCACGCAGUGGGACUGAACCCGGAACCAUGUGGUUGGUAAGCAAGCUAUUUCCUACACAUCCACUCCUAUGACAAGAUAUGAUGGACUUCUUUUAGUUUUCGUCUACCAAAAAUUCAUUCAUAAGGCUUUGGUCGGCCUAUGGCUAUAGCAGAAGACUCUUGCCCAAGGUGACAUGCAGUGGGACUGAACCAAGAACCAUGUGGUUGUGAAGCAAGCUCCUUGCUACACAUUCACAUCUUACAUAUGCUGAGUUCUUUGUUAAAUGUCACCAACGAAAAAUUUUAAAACUCUGUAAUAGUUCCGAAGACAUUUUAAUUUUUGCUAGCAACGUUUUCUCGCGAUGAAUAGAUGAUAGACUUGACAAAAAAAAACGAAACAAAUUCGCUAUGAAUAGAUUAGGGGAAAUACGCGGUCGUCGUGUGUGUAUGUGUAUGUUCGUAAAUAGAUAUUCAUAUGCAUGUCUAUGUGUGUAAAACCACACACAAACGCAUAUAUAUAUAUGCUUCCAGUGAACAUAAAUACACAACAUAACAGUAUAUCUAACUAGCCGGUUUUCUACUAUAUACAUAAACAUUUUCAGAACUAUUUUUAUGUGUAUUUUAUUCAUUUAUCUAUUUUUUUUAAACAUUCAAAGAAAGAUUUAAUGCUUUCGAACCGGCACUCUGCAAUGUUUUCAAAAGAAAAUAUUUGCUCGGAGGUCUGGAACACAUCGCCUAUUCCGUUUCGAAAGGGGAUCUUUCAUUUUCCUUCUUCACCAUACAGUUCAAAAUGAUGGAAAGGAGCUUUCCAUGGAAACCUUUUUGAAAAUAUAUGAUUUUUUAAACACCCUCACCUCGCCGUAUGUGUCCAUUUAUGUACAUUAUGCAUGAACACACACCAACUUGCGCGUAACUAUUUAUUUUUCAGAUUUUUUUUUUUUUUUAGUAUUAAGCACUUAAAAACAAUAAGAGGCUCUUUUUUAAAAGAAAAAUUCCUAAAAUCUAUAAUUUUGGAAGUGUCUCCUGCUUCAGCCUCCACAAUCACCAUUAUCCAUCUGUUUUGUUUAGUUUAAACAAAAGCCUUGUAAUGCGCUCUUAAAAGCUCUUAUGCUUCUUGUUGGCUACCACUUGUUGAUUCUACCUCUCAGGGCAAUCCAAUGGUAUGUGUAUACAAGUGGAACUUCUUUUUGCUUAGGAUAAAUAUAAUAGUAACAAUAAAAACACGAGGAUGGAAAUUCAUAGAUAGAUAGAGAUAAUUCAUAAAUGAAAAGUUAAGGAAAGUAGUGAAAGGGAUGAGGACUAAUAAUUAGCAAAUUGAAAUUUUGAAUUUUUUCUUAAUCAUCUCGGAAUUCCAAUUAACUACGCACCAGACAAGUAUCCGCUCUGACUUUGCGCGCGCGCAAGCCUGUGUAUAUGUGUGUGUGUCUACAUGAAUGUGUGUAUGUGAAUGUGUCACACAUACUUAAUAAAAGUAUCAAGUGGAGAUAACUACAUUUCGUUUAUAACACUUGGGACAGCAACCGAGUGCCGCAGUUCACUCGCUGAAUUGUGUUGUAACAUUAUCCAGUUAAUAACAAUUUACUUCGAUAAAACCGAAAGAAAAAUAAUGACCAAUAUCUUUUACCAGCUCUAAUUUUUGUGAAUGUCAUACUAAUCUAUCGCAAAAUAGUUUUUGUUGUGGUUUUAAACAUAAACCUGUGAAAAAUACUGAACUGCGAUAAUUUUGGAAGUGUCUCCUGCUGCAGCCUCCACAAUCACCAUUAUCCAUCUGUUUAAAUUAAUAUAUAACUUUUUAAAAAUUACUAUUAAUUUAUUAAUCUUUAAUAAUGACCAGUGAAAGGUGUGUUAUUUCUAUGGAACAAUUUCGCCAUAAGUAUUGGCAAACCCAUCCCGAAUCGUUGAUGGAAAUGAGUAACAUUUUCUGGAGUUACCAUAAAGUAAGUGCUACCUGUCUUAGAUAUGUUGGAUUCUUCGAUAAAUAUCGUUUACAAAAUCUUUCAGAACACUUUAAUGAUACCGAAGAGAUCAUCAAUCUUGGCAUCAACAUGAAUUUUUCGUGGGAUGUUGUUGAUAGUAUAAUAAGAGAAAACAACAUGGAUAUAAAAAGAUUAGGGGAAAUUUUGUUGACAAACUAUAUUUUGGUGAGUCACGAAGGCGACGAAAAAACUGUCGAGCAGAUUGUGAAUAUAUUUUGCGAAAUCGGUAAAAAUAAUUGUGGUAUAAAAAUUGAAGAAGAUUUUCGAUGCUGGUCGCAGCAAACUUGUGACAAAUAUAAGAAAUUGGAUGAGAUCGAAAAGAAGUUCAAAGACGGUAAAACUGAAAAACAACUGAGAGUAUUUGGGUGGCAAAUGAAACACACACCCGAACGAUUCUUCGAUUAUCUUGGAAAUUUUUGUUCACUUAAAGAAUACGAUAAAGAAGUAUUUGUUGAUCUUACUAAAAAAGACUUAAAUGAUAUGGCAGUAGAAUUACUAAAAAAUGCUCCUGUUGAGUUUGCCUUUCAAUAUUUACCUUCAGCUGCUAAAUACCAUUACGAUUCCAGGUUAGUCCUUCCCUUAGAAUGGAUAGCAAUUAACCCUGAUUCUGAUAAAAAGUAUUACUCAAAUGAAAAAUUAAUGUGGCUAUUCGCCACACAUGAUUUUGAUAAAUCCAUAUUUCAUAAAUUCAUGUUACAAAACUUUCCUAAAGAAGGAGUUUUUAAGGAAUUUCUUGAAAAACAUCCGCAGAACCAAACAAUUUCCACAUUUCAAAUCCUUAUGUAUGUAUUGGGAAGUAAAUCAAGUUCAAGUUGUGACUAUACUAAAAAUAUGAAAAUUCUAAAAAUGUUUGAACCUUUUGAGAGAUUUGUUUCGCUGUUCCAGGAUAAUUGCAAAGUUGAAAAGAUGUUAGUUUUUAAAAAUAUUUCUACCCAUGACGCUUUAUUAUAUGUAAUUAUAAUUUUCCUAAUCUGCGGAUGCUUUAAAAAAAAUCCUGUUUUAUGAAUCAACCUCUAUAUAGUUCGGCGAUUCUUUAAAAGUUCUUUCAAAAUUUUUCUUAUAAAGAUAAACUGAAAAGAAACGAAAAAACUUAAAGGUGGCAUCAUCUGCCUGUUAAGAAAUCCUUAUAUUGAUUACCACUUAUUAUUCAGCUGCUAAAUAGGAAACGAGUCUGACUGAGGAUAAUCCUUCGCUGCAUCAGAGUAAACCUGGAUUUUGUGUUGGAUUUCCACCGUAUUACCGAAGUGGUAGUUAUUCGAAAGUCAAAUUGGCUCAAAACUCUAACAAAACUUCUUUAAAAGUGGCAGUGAAAAUUGUCAACCUUUCAAAAGCACCAGGCGAUUUCCUGAAACGGUUUCUACCUCGUGAAUUAGAAAUAUGGC